GAUGAACGCUGGCGGCGUGCCUAAUACAUGCAAGUCGAGCGAACAGAUGAGGAGCUUGCUCCUUUGACGUUAGCGGCGGACGGGUGAGUAACACGUGGAUAACCUACUUAUAAGACUGGGAUAAUUUCGGGAAACCGGAGCUAAUACCGGAUAAUAUAUUGAACCGCAUGGUUCAAUAGAGAAUGACGGCUUUGCUGUCACUAAUAGAUGGAUCCGCGCCGCAUUAGCUAGUUGGUAAGGUAACGGCUUACCAAGGCAACGAUGCGUAGCCGACCUGAGAGGGUGAUCGGCCACACUGGAACUGAGACACGGUCCAGACUCCUACGGGAGGCAGCAGUAGGGAAUCUUCCGCAAUGGGCGAAAGCCUGACGGAGCCACGCCGCGUGAGUGAUGAAGGUCUUCGGAUCGUAAAGCUCUGUUAUUGGGGAAGAACAGCUGUGGAAGUAAAUAUGCACGUCUUGACGGUACCUAAUCAAAAAGCCACGGCUAACUACGUG
rnacentral:rRNA from 1 species